GCAAGUUUUUCUAUGUGGAGGCCAAAAGAUAGAUUGGGGUCUAACAUCAUAUCCAAGUAUUUGAAAGAGUGGACUGUGGUCAGUGUGCCAUUUGAAUUUGUUUUGAUGGAUAGGUGGGAAUUGUGUAAUUUGUGUAAUUUAGGUACUGUUCCAAAGAUCAUUGUGACAGUUUUGUCAGUGUUUAGGAAGAGUUUGUUUUUUGCGAUCCACUUUUCUACCUUUCUACCUUUGUAAACUGGUCUUGGAGCACAGCCUCAAGCUGUGGUAGAUCGGAAUUGCUCGCAUAGAUUACCGUGUCAUCUGCGUACAUGUGUACAUUUGAGGAUUUGCAGACAUUAGGCAGAUCAUUUAUAAAUAAUGUAAAUAGUAGGGGGCCGAGAAUGAAACCUUGGGGAACACCAGGGAGGGAGUCGCUGUCAGAAAUGGACACAUAUUGCAAGCGA